rnacentral:rRNA from 1 species
GACGAACCGUGCGAACGUUGUUCGGAAUCACUGGGCUUAAAGGGCGCGUAGGCGGGUGUGCAAGUCUGUGGUGAAAGCCUCCAGCUUAACUGGAGAAGUGCCAUGGAUACUGCACAUCUUGAGGAGGGUAGGGGCAUCUGGAACGGUCGGUGGAGCGGUGAAAUGCGUUGAUAUCGACCGGAACUCCGGUGGCGAAGGCGAGGUGCUGGACCCUUUCUGACGCUGAGGCGCGAAAGCCAGGGGAACAAACGGG